GAGCUCGUUUCGGCACCACAUAUACUAAAAUUGAGACAAUACACAGAGAACAGCAUGGACCCUGUGCAAAGAUGACAUGCAAAUUUGUGAGGCAUUCCAUAUUUUU
ensembl:snRNA U6 U6 spliceosomal RNA